GGAUUGUGGCUCAGUGGUAGAGUGCUCACCUAGCAUGCAGGAGGUACUGGGUUCGAUCCUCAGCACCA
rnacentral:tRNA from 1 species